GCAGGUUUGGUUUCUUCUAAGGCUUCUCUCCUUGGUUCGUAGAUGGCUUUCUUCUCCUCCCUGUGUCCUCCCAUGGUCUUCCUUCUGUGUGCGUGUGUCUGAUUCCUAAUCUCUUUUCCAUAUAAGAAUACCAGUCAUACAGGAUUAGGGUCCACACUAAUGACCUCAUCUUAACUUAAUUACCUCUUAAGGACCCUGUUUCCAAAUACAGUCACAUUCUGAGGUACUGGGAGUUAGGACAUCAACAUACGAAUUUGGGGACACGUAAUUCAGCCCCUAACAACUAUUAUAGACAAUGCUUCAAAGCAAAGUUCUCCUUGUACACGUAAGUGCAAGUUUCCCUGGGGAAUCCACUUAAGUAUGGAAGGGUGAGGUCAUAUAAUGGAGUACAAUUUAAGUGGAUGGCGAUGAUGAGGUUUGCAGGGUAAAAGUCUGAAAAAAUAGUGAUAAUCGUAGCUAGUAUUUUUCAAGUGACAAUAACUCUAUAUUAUACAAAAUUUUAUUUAAUUUUUACAACAUCUAUUUGAGUUAGGUGUUAUCAUUAUUCCCAUUUUACCAAUAAGGAAACCGAGGCUUAAGGAAAUGAAGUAAUCUAAGUGUCCAGAGGAACCAGCGGUAAAGCUGGGAUUCUAACCCAGGUCUGUUUGAUUCCAAAGCCUGUGCUUUUAUACACUGUAGCUUCAUUUGAGAACACACACUCACACACACACACACACGCACACAUGCCACACACACUGCCUCAAUGAAGUGUUGCCCUGCAGCACAGUUAACCACUAGUUCAGAAAUCCCUUCGUCGAGCUGCACUACGUGCGGCUGGGAAAUGAAUGACAAGCGCGUGAGAACAGCCCAGGAAAAGAAAGGAGGUACAAAUUCCCUGAAAAACAACUCCCAGAAAGGCACAUCUGUGUUGAUGUAUAAAAAUAGAAAAGGGUAGAAUCCUCGUGGCUGUGGAGCCCUAGCCUAGCAGCAGCAGCACGACAUCCUGUGACGUCAAGAAGUGGUGGCGGAAGUCGCUGCGAACAAUGGCCACAGAGCACUGCUGGGGGAAGACGUGUGUGUCACCCGGCAGCUGCGGGGCGUGCACAGGAAGGAAGUGCAGGACCCGCGGCAUCACUGGCCUCCCUCCGAGCGCUGUUGUGAGCACCAAGCGACCUCAGAAGCGCAGGGCGCUCAGCACAGGUGGUUUACCGUCGUUGUUGUUAUGCCCUUCAUGUGGCCCAUUUCCCGCAGACACGCAAGACAGAAACAGUAGCCUCUUUCAAAGAGGAGGUAAGAAUUAGAUUAAUCAGCCCUCCAUUAACAUCCCACGGUGGAGGUGUCUGCUCCAUUCACCUAAUGACCCGAACCUUUGCAUAACUUGUGCAAAUAGCUCCUGGACAGCCCUUGGGAGGGAAAUGCGCUCUUCUUUUUGACUUCUAUGACAUGACAAAUCCGAAUAUGCUGGUCUUGGCACCCUGAAACAAGCCGGCAAGGGAAAUUCAGAUUUCACGUGACGCACAAGCAAAAGUGAUUUUCGGUAAAUGAAGAUUCAAUUCUUAGGGUGGGGAUACUAAUAACACAGGUCAAGUGAUUUGAAAAGACUUUUACUCUCUUUUUUUGUUUGUUUUCUCUCACCCCUUCCAUCUCUUCAGCCCACCUGGAAUUUCUUCCCUUGAAAAGUUCUAAAGGAUCCUAGAAUGAGAGUCUUUAGGUUCCUUCCUGAACACUGUAUCAAGACAUUUCUGGCAUCUCAACCUCAUUUCAUGUACACCACCUCUGAGUCCAGGUUUCAGAAAAGCAAGUGAACAAACAAGGCCGUCACCUCAUUAAGCCAAAAUCACUGCACUUAUGGAGCAUCGGUGAGAACUCCCUCCUUCAAAGUCAAAAAAUAUCUAGCACCCGAAAAAAAUUAAGUCUGGUUCUUUCUAGAUAAAAGAGAACAGGAUUUAAGUGAGUACAUACUUAAGGUUAAGUGAGUAAAUCCUUGCGGGGUGAGGAGGUAACCACCCUUGUGGAACUUUGGAACUUUUGUUUUUUACUUGAAACGCAGCAGCGGCGUUAAGUUUUCUGUUCCUUGCUCGGUAAUCGGCCGAACCUGCGUGCAAGGCUGCGGACACCUUGUUGGGUCCGGGACGGAGGGCGAUGAUGCUGUGGAGGAUGUGAUGACGAUGUGCAGAAAUGAAAGCGAUGACAAAAGCUCGCGAGGCCUGAGCGCUUCGGUGGCCGGGCCGAUCCUGCGGCCGCAGAGGCCCCGGGGCCGCCGGGCCAGCGCGCGGCGGGGACGGCGGGCGCGUCAAUGGGCCCAUUCAGGCGGGCGCGGCGCGGCGCGGGGGUUGAGAAGUUAAGGGGCGGGAGGUGGCGCGCCGAGGCCGCGGCCGCGCCAUUUGCAUUUCAAUGAAACCCGCCUGUUGACUCAGUGCCCGGCGCUUCCGCAGCUCCCACCAGAAUCUGCCUUUGUUGGUUUUAGCUCCGGUCAAGUCCACUUCUUGCAGCGGGGGAGCCGCGCUCAUUGAGUUUGUGUAGUCAGGCAGAACACUCGACAGGAAGGAAGGAGGAAGGGGUGCUCCGCGCGGCCAUUGUCUGGGCAACCGGGCUUAAGCAGCCGAGUGACUAUUUAAUCUAGAAGGUGCACUUGAAUCCCUUGCAAAUCCUCUCAGUGUGGAGCAGGGGGCACCCAGACAGGGACAGAUGGUGCAGGACCCCUUUGUUUAAAAAUAUGGAAAUAGGCUUUUUCAUUUACUUAAGGUAGCCCCGCUCUUUUAACUGUUGCCAUUCCCCCGUGUUGCAUUGUCCAGGAGAGACCCGAACCGGCUAAUGGGUCUGGUCAGCCCUGCCCGAGCGGCCCCACCUUUUUUUUUUUUUUUUUUUUUUAAUGUAGUAGCUGGAAGUGAGUUUGCUAUGUUUGGCAUAGUUACAGUAAGAACCCCUCUUACCUUUCUGGUGUCUUCUGAGUUGGGCACAGAGCAGCCCAGGGAAGUUUGUUUAAAAGUCUUGCAAGAUCUCUUUUCAGAGGCCCCCUCCCUUUCUUUUUUCCCCGUUAAGCAUCAAAUUCAGAGGUCUCAGGGUGCUUCACGUGCAGCGAGGGGCGGAGGGAGAAUGUCUUGUUCUCAGUGUCUUCUUGCUGCUCUGCCGUGACCUCUUGGGCCAUGAAGCACAGUGAAGGGUGACCCACUUGGGUUUCCAGAGCCGGAAGGAUGCUGUGGCUCGGGCCGCACAUGUGGUUCCGCUUCCACAGCUAUAAUUUAGAGUGUGUUCAACAUCAGGCUUUGGAAAUGUGCACACAUGAGUGCAGUAUAUUAGAAACGUGGAAGAUUCUGCCUACAGAGCCCUUGAGCUUGCUGACAUGUCACAAGAUGGCUUUUCUGAUUAUCCUGACGACAUAGAGGACUGCAUUUUAUCGGGUGUCGGGGCACAUUUGGGAACAUUAGAGCACACCCCAAGUUAGUCGGAAAUGAGGUCAACCAACUGUCCACGCAUGUGACCUAUUUUUCCUGUCCUGGCUUUUGUUCAAAACAUGGCAGUCAUGGUCCUGCCGGACUCUUCUAGCCACGGUAAUACAAAUCAAUUAAAGGAAGAAAUUUGAAUAGAUAACUGGUAAAAAAAAAAAAAAAAAAUCAGAUAGUUUUCCAUUUCAGCACAGAUUAUACAGGAAGCAGAUUAUUGUCUUGUGGUUUUGAAGGUAGGAUGAAGUUGACACAUUAGAAAAUAGAUUGUUGAAGUAUUUUAAUCUUGAGGUGUUUAAAUGUUGGGCAUCUUAAUACAUUUAUAUAAAGAAGCAGAUGUCUUUUUGGUGUGUAAUUCAAAUCAAACGUUUGACUCUGAAAUGCUCAUAAUCCAACUGUCUCUUACCUGCCGCGACUGCAGACUCUUUGCCCUCAAGUUGUUCUGACAUGCUGUCUCUAAGAACAUAGACAGUGUACAUACAACACCUGGAUCUGUGAAUUAAUUACUACCUAGGCCACCACCAAGAGCCUUUCUAAGUGGCCAAGUGCAAGGAUCUUCUGUUUCUUAUCCAAGUAUCAAAGCCCCAAGUCCAUGAAUUGACACUUUACUAUGAAUUCCUGCUUCAUUUCGAUUUCACUCAGCCAUUUUAGAGGAGAAAAGAGCCAGAAUCAGGUGUCCCCCAGCAGGUGUAGCUUAUAAUUUAUAUUUUUUGAAGAAGAAUCUGCCUAAGCUGGUUUCAAGUUAUCAAAAGACAUAGAAAUUAAGAAGUUCUAAAAAGAUGUAGGAAUUAAAACUGGGGGGGGGAGGGUCAGUGAUUUUACAGGCUUAAGCAUUGCUCAGUAAACAAAUUUGUUUAGAAGUUCAAAAGUCAAAAGAGAGCUUUGCUUGGAGUUUGAAAAUUUUGUAGGUUUUCCUUCCAAAUGGUGAAAAAUGCAAUAUGAUAUUAUUAUUAUUCCACAGGCAGGUGUGAGCUUGAGCAUAUUAAGUUUCUUGGCUUUCUUUUGAUUUUAUAUAAUGAGCCUUUCGUUGGACUUCAUUACAGUGAUGGUCUCCCUCUCCGAUCCUGAGUUAAACCAUGAAACCCCACAUACUCUCUGAUAUUUGUAAUUUCGUUUUGGUUGGUAAGUGAAUUUUGGCGAUAAAAGUGUGAAGCCACAAGUUCCCCAAAGCAUUGGACUGCAGUGAAAAGGAAAGUACCCCAUCUGGCAAAGAUUUUGGUUUAAGUUGAACCUGAGGCUUCAUGCUCACUCACAGUUCACAAAUGAUGCCCACUCACCUAGCCCAGGGGGAUGAGAUUGGGGGCACCCACAUUCAAUUGGGUGAAGGAUUCUUAGAAUGUUUCUAAGACCAAUGUGUUGUAUAGGACCAACCUGGGCCUCUGUUGACGAUCAGAGAAUGAGACUGUGUAUUCCCAUAGGGAACGGCAGCUUCAGCAACUGACCCUAUUUAUGGGAGAGGAUUUGGCCAGCAGGGGACAUGAAUUCAGAGACUUUCGUUAUGAAUCAGUUCCUAUGAGACUACCACAGCUGGGCUGAAGGUGUUCAAAUUGAAGUGUUACUUUUAGUUUCUGCAUCGCUUGGGUUUGUCCAAAAUGAAAGUACUUAUGGUGACUUUCCAUACCAGACAGAGGAUUGUUUAGAAGUGCACCAAAGUGCACCAAAAUUUCCAUUUGGGUGUGGACUUAGUUUAGGAAAGUUCUCCAAGUCAUAAGCUGUUUUCCCCCAAAGCAGGACACAUUCCCAGAUGCCAGCCAUAUACUGUGCUGUGUCUUACCUGAUCUCUGCAGUGGUUGACGGUAUUGACUGCUUCCUCUUUGAGAAGCACCUUCCUUGGCUUUGAUGACAGAACUCUCUCCUGGCAUUUCUCCUACCUCUCCGGCCUCUCCUUCUUAGGCUUCUUUGCAGGCUCUUUGCCCCUUUGCUCAUCCCUUAUUGUGCUCUUGUGAGGGUUCUGUCUUUGGUUCUCAUCUCUUCUGUACAUUCUCCUUUGUGAGAUUUCUAGGAGACCUUUCUUUUUUUUUUUUUUUACAUCUUUAUUGGAGUAUAAUUGCUUUACA